UACGUAGGGUCCGAGCGUUGUCCGGAAUUAUUGGGCGUAAAGGGCUCGUAGGCGGUUUGUCACGUCGGGAGUGAAAACUCAGGGCUCAACCCUGAGCGUGCUUCCGAUACGGGGCAGACUAGAGGUAUGCAGGGGAGAACGGAAUUCCUGGUGUAGCGGUGGAAUGCGCAGAUAUCAGGAAGAACACCAAUGGCGAAGGCAGCUCUCUGGGACGGUACUGACGCUGAGACGCGAAAGCGUGGGGAGCGAACAGG
rnacentral:rRNA from 1 species